GAUGAAGAACGCAGCGAAAUGCGAUACUUGGUGUGAAUUGCAGAAUCCCGUGAACCAUCGAGUCUUUGAACGCAAGUUGCGCCCGAAGCCAUUAGGCCGAGGGCACGCCUGCCUGGGCGUCACACGUCGUUGCCCCCCCAUCUACUCCUUCGGGAUUGCGGGGGCGGAUGAUGGCCUCCCGUACGCCUCGCCGCGCGGUUGGCAUAAAUGCCAAGUCCUCGGCGACGCACGCCACGACAAUCGGUGGUUGCGAAACCUCGGUUGCCCGUCGUGUGCGGUCGUCGCGCAUCGAGGGCUCGAAAAAAUUGCCGGGUUCCGGCUCGGCUUUCAACGCGACCCCAGGUCAGGCGGGGUUACCCGCUGAAUUUAAGCAUAUCAAUAAGCGGAGGA
rnacentral:misc_RNA from 1 species